rnacentral:lncRNA from 1 species
AUGAAAUUGGAAAUUCACUUCCGGAACCGCAGCCGUUCAACAGCGAGGAGAGUGAUGGAAGACGGGGUAACAGAUAAUGUGGAGCUGGGCACCCGGGGCCAGAGCUCGGGUCGGUCGGGUCGGUCGGGUCGGUCGGGUCGGGUCGGGGUCGGGUCGGGUCGGUCGCCCCGGUCGGGUCGGUCGGGUCGGUCGGGUCGGUCGGGUCGGUCGGGUCGGUCGGGUCGGUCGGGUCGGUCGGGUCGGUCGGGUCGGUCGGUCGGUCGGGUCGGCCCGGUCGGGUCGGUCGGGUCGGUCGGGUCGGUCGGGUCGGCGGCGGUCGGUCGGUCGGGUCGGUUCGGUCGGUCGGGUCGGUCGGUCGGGUCGGGUCGGUCGGGUCGUCGGUCGGUCGGUCGGCCGGUCGGUCGAAGUCGGCGGGUCGGGUCGGGUCGGGUCGCCCGGGUCGGUCGGUCGGCCCGGUCGGUCGGUCGGUCGGUCGGGUCGGUCGGGUCGGUCGAGUCGGGUCGGGUCGGUCGGGUCGGUCGGGUCGGUCGAGUCGGUCGGCCCGGUCGGGUCGGUCGGCUCCAGGUCCCGGAGCCACGAGGAUCUUUGUUGCUUUUCAGGUCUUUUUGCCGCCUCGUGUUCAGUUGCUGCUUUUUUUCAGUUCAGCUCUUCAGCUUUGGGAAAUGGUUGGUGAUUUAUUUUGUUUGGGAUUUUGUUUUUGCCUUCCACCCCCCCCUCUCUCUCUCUCCUUCUUCCUGUUGUCUUUUCUCCUCCUUUUUUUCCUCCUCUCAUCCUUUUCACCUCCCUGACCUCAACUGCCACGUCCUCGUCUCCUCUCCUACCGUCUUAUCCUUUCCAUUUCCUCCUCCUCUCUUUCUCCUUUUUGCACCUUUUACUCUGCCUCCUCCUCCUCCUCUUCUUCCUCCUCCUCCUCCUCCUCCUCCUCCUCCUCCUCCUCCUCCUCCUCCUCCUCCUCCUCCUCCUCCUCCUCCUCUUCCUCCUCCUCCUCCUCCUCCUGUUCCUCUUCUUCCUCCUCCUCCUCCUCUUACUCUUCGUCCUCCUCCUCCUCCUGCUCCUCCUCCUCUUCCUCCUCCUCCUCCUCCUUCCUCCUCCUCCUCCUCCUCCUCCUCCUCCUCCUCCUCCUCCUCUUCUUCCUCCUCCUCCUCCUCUUCCUCCUCCUCCUCCUCCUCCUCCUGCUCCUCUUCCUCCUCCUCCCUCCUCUUCCUCCUCCUCCUCCUCUUCCUCUUCUUCCUCCUGCUCCUCCUCCUGUUCUUCCUCCUCCUCCUCCUCUUCCUCCUCCUCUUCCUCCUCUUCCUCCUCCUCCAAUAG